GUUUUUUAUAAGUUCCCUUGAGCACCUGUGUCACUGAGCUGAGCAGCGGCUGCCUAGCUCCCUUAGCCCCUGCUGGGAUUGUCAUCACUUUCUUGUUAGAUGUAGGUAUUUUCUCUUUUUUUUUUUUUUUGAAAAUUGCCUUAAAAAAUAUUUUGUGUUUUGGCAGUUUCAGUUUCUGGUACAUUUCCUGAUUAAUGGUGAAUGUUCUGAUUUUCUAGCUAAUUCUUAUGUGUUCCCUCUGACUUUGGGAAAUUGUAUCCUAUAUCCCUGACUCUCUUGAAGAUUCUGCUGUUCUCCUGACUCUCCAGUCCUUUCCCAUUCUGAAACGAAGGCGCAGGAUCCGAGGUAUCUCAGGAUGUUUCUCUUCAUCCUCCCGGCCCACACGGGUGGAGAUCUGCGCUCAGAGGGUCCUCGGAGGCCCCUUGCUUGCUGUGCUAGCCUGACAGAUGAAAUGAUGUCACUGGGAGCACCUCAGGUCAGUCUUGGAGCUGUGGUUGGAGCUGUGAACGCAGGCUGUGACAGGAGGCUUGGCUGGAGUAUCAAUGAACUGGUCAGAGCAGAACCCAGAGUCCCAGGGUCCCCUGCAGAAGUGAGGGCAAACUCUAAAUUCAGUGCCUGCUCCCUUUCUCCCCUGAGAAAUCUAAACCAACUUGACGUUUGCACUUGCGAUGGUAAAACGGGAGUGGGUGUGGUUUAGGGAAAUAGCAUCUGCCCUGCAUGAGUUUGGGGGCCUGAUAAGAGUGGUUCAAACAGACCCGAAGUCUGAUUUUAGUGUGACGUCUGGGUGAGUGACACAACCUCUGAGCCUGUUUCCAGUUAUAAAAUGAGAGAUAAACCUACCAAAUAAGGUUCCUUCAAGCAUUGAAGUGAAGCAGCACUCAAUACCAGCUCCCGUGUGUUCCCAUUAAUUUCUACGUCUGUGGGCCAGAGGAGAGGAAGGGGGUCACAAAGGGAGUGGUUAUUAUGGGAAGGUGAUAAGAGCUAUAUUUGUACACCACGGCUUAGCAGUGACAAGAAUGCAGAGAGGUGUAAAUGCCAGGGUGGGGGAUGAGAAGCAAGGAGACUGGGGAAAAAGUCAGGGCCAGAAAUGGAGUGUCCCUGUCCUGUGCGUCAUGCUCCUGGGAACUCAGCAUGACAUCCAGCCUCUGAACUAUACUUCCCCUUUUAGAUCGGUGAUCCACAGAGCUAGCUGGCCUUGCUGAACUAGGUACGUGCAAGGGCAAUACCAAGUACCAUUAUUGAGCCAGACUGGGGAGUAGGCUCUGUCAUAGCCACACUGUGCAGUGUUUCAGGGCAGAGCCCAGAAUCCGGGCUUUGGUCUGCACCCCACUCCUCCAUCAUUCACUCCUUUGGCACUCUGUUUCUCCAGUGAAAUGGUAAACUCCCUUGGCAGCAGGGAAUGAUCUUUUGUCUCCCCUCCUCCUGUGCCUAGCAUGGUGCUCCUGAACAUGGGUGUUUAGUAAACAUUUAAAGAAAAAUAAAUGUAUUAUUCUGGAGCA
rnacentral:lncRNA from 1 species